GUAGGUGGUAAGCGUUGUCCGGAAUUAUUGGGCGUAAAGCGCGCGCAGGCGGUUCUUUAAGUCUGAUGUGAAAGCCCACGGGCUCAACCGUGGAGGGUCAUUGGAAACUGGAGAACUUGAGUACAGAAGAGGAAAGCGGAAUUCCACGUGUAGCGGUGAAAUGCGUAGAGAUGUGGAGGAACACCAGUGGCGAAGGCGGCUUUCUGGUCUGUAACUGACGCUGAGGCGCGAAAGCGUGGGGAGCAAACAGGAUUAGAUACCCUGGUAGUCCACGCCGUAAACGAUGAGUGCUAAGUGUUAGGGGGUUUCCGCCCCUUAGUGCUGCAGCUAACGCAUUAAGCACUCCGCCUGGGGAGUACGGCCGCAAGGCUG
rnacentral:rRNA from 1 species